UUUAUACAACAUUAUGUCACAGAUGAGGCUCAUUGUGGUUUGUAUCUCUCCCUGUGCUGGUACUGUGAUAGGAGGAUAGAGACAGAGAGAGAUUACGGAUAUGCAUCGGAGGAGCAAUAUCAGAUUGGGAAGCAUGACCACAAUUCAGCAGUUUUGUGCUGUAAUCGAUACCGGCUGUAGCGAAUCUGGAAGAAGAGCCUCUCCAGCAGUGAACGGGUCAUCCCUGGUAGCGUGUAGUCCUCAGUGUCUCCCACUCGCCGGAAACCCAACGACUCAUACAGCUUGUGGGCAGCC